CAGAAUCAAGAAGUUGAUGGCAAUACGGACGCGUUGUUGUCGACAUGUGGUUUUGUUAUUGCACGAAAAAAACGGAUCGACAAAUCUUUCGAUUCUCGUUGAUUUACGCGAGUGUUUACUAUCUCGGCCGUGAUACAACCUGACUCUAAUUGACUUUGUGCGAACAACCGAAAAAUAUAUACAUAGAUACAAGUGAGUGUGCACGUUUACGUUAUCAUCGUGUGCCAUUAUUGAAUCACCUUUCUUAAGGAAAGUAACGUGUGAUCAGUCACGUGUGACCGGAAUCUACUCACUUGCCAGCAGACAGGAUACUCCCAGUCAAGAUCCAAACCAUCGAAAUUAUACUUUUCCAAGAAUUGAACAGCGUGACUGAUGAACUUCGUCCUGGCUGAUGGACUGUUCACGAGACGACUGUACUUGUCUCCGGCGGAAUCAUUCCAUCCGCCCAGAGCGAGCAACACCUUCAGACCUCGUUUCUUAAUUCAUAUCCAAAAAGGAAUAAACAGUCGUCAAAAUGCUACAAUACCGCAGGAUUCAUCGUCGAUUCUACGAUUCGUUGCUUACAAAGUGGAGUCUCUGGUUUUAUUUUCAUGUCGCAUAAUAAACUAGGCAUGAUC